GACGAACGCUGGCGGCGUGCUUAACACAUGCAAGUCGAACGGAAAGGCUCCAGCUUGCUGGAGUGCUCGAGUGGCGAACGGGUGAGUAACACGUGGGCAAUCUGCCCUGCACUCUGGGAUAAGCCUGGGAAACUGGGUCUAAUACCGGAUAGGACCUUUCUCCUCAUGGGGUUUGGUGGAAAGUUUUUCGGUGCAGGAUGAGCCCGCGGCCUAUCAGCUUGUUGGUGGGGUAAUGGCCUACCAAGGCGACGACGGGUAGCCGGCCUGAGAGGGUGAUCGGCCACAUUGGGACUGAGAUACGGCCCAGACUCCUACGGGAGGCAGCAGUGGGGAAUAUUGCACAAUGGGCGAAAGCCUGAUGCAGCGACGCCGCGUGAGGGAUGACGGCCUUCGGGUUGUAAACCGCUUUCAGUAGGGACGAGGCGCAAGUGACGGUACCUGCAGAAGAAGCACCGGCUAACUACGU
rnacentral:rRNA from 1 species